GACGGGGGCCCGCACAAGCGGUGGAGCAUGUGGUUUAAUUCGACGCAACGCGCAGAACCUUACCAGCCCUUGACAUCCCGGUCGCGGACUCCAGAGACGGAGUUCUUCAGUUCGGCUGGACCGGAGACAGGUGCUGCAUGGCUGUCGUCAGCUCGUGUCGUGAGAUGUUGGGUUAAGUCCCGCAACGAGCGCAACCCCCGUCCUUAGUUGCUACCAUUUAGUUGAGCACUCUAAGGAGACUGCCGGUGAUAAGCCGCGAGGAAGGUGGGGAUGACGUCAAGUCCUCAUGGCCCUUACGGGCUGGGCUACACACGUGCUACAAUGGCGGUGACAAUGGGAUGCUAAGGGGCGACCCUUCGCAAAUCUCAAAAAGCCGUCUCAGUUCGGAUUGGGCUCUGCAACUCGAGCCCAUGAAGUUGGAAUCGCUAGUAAUCGUGGAUCAGCACGCCACGGUGAAUACGUUCCCGGGCCUUGUACACACCGCCCGUCACACCAUGGGAGUUGGUUUUACCUGAAGACGGUGCGCUAACCGAAAGGGGGCAGCCGGCCACGGUAGGGUCAGCGACUGGGGUGAAGUCGUAA
rnacentral:rRNA from 1 species